rnacentral:rRNA from 1 species
AAUAAGUUAAAACUUUCAACAACGGAUCUCUUGGUUCUGGCAUCGAUGAAGAACGCAGCGAAAUGCGAUAAGUAAUGUGAAUUGCAGAAUUCAGUGAAUCAUCGAAUCUUUGAACGCACAUUGCGCCCGGUAGUACUCUACCGGGCAUGCCUGUUCGAGCGUCAUUUCAACCCUCAAGCCCUGCUUGGUGUUGGGGCCMUACGGCUGCSGUAGGCCCUGAAAGGAAGUGGCGGGCUCGCUACAACUCCGAGCGUAGUAAUUCAUUAUCUCGCUAGGGAGGUUGCGGCGUGCUCCUGCCGUUAAAGACCCAUCUUUAACCAAGGUUGACCUCGGAUCAGGUAGGAAUACCCGCUGAACUUAAGCAUAUCAAUAAGCGGAGGAAAAGAAACCAACAGGGAUUGCCCUAGUAACGGCGAGUGAAGCGGCAACAGCUCAAAUUUGAAAUCUGGCUUCGGCCCGAGUUGUAAUUUGUAGAGGAUGCUUUUGGUGAGGUG